rnacentral:rRNA from 1 species
CGUAGGGUGCGAGCGUUGUCCGGAAUUACUGGGCGUAAAGAGCUCGUAGGUGGUUUGUCGCGUUGUUCGUGAAAACUCACAGCUCAACUGUGGGCGUGCGGGCGAUACGGGCAGACUGGAGUACUGCAGGGGAGACUGGAAUUCCUGGUGUAGCGGUGGAAUGCGCAGAUAUCAGGAGGAACACCGGUGGCGAAGGCGGGUCUCUGGGCAGUAACUGACGCUGAGGAGCGAAAGCGUGGGGAGCGAACAGG